rnacentral:lncRNA from 1 species
AAUUAUCAAGUUUUGUAAAUGUAGUGUGAUAAUCAAAGUGGUGACAUAACAAUAUACUCCUAUUAGUAUUUUUCAUACGAUUGUCUUAUCACUUGAAGAAAAAAAAAGUAUGAAAUCAAGAGGUUAUAAAAGCAGCAUUUACGCAAUAAUUACUUGAAAGCAAAUUACCUCAAAGUGUAAUUCAUACCGAGCACCCAAACUGAAAUGCAAUUUAGCCGCACUGUAUAGAAGAUUAUUUUUGUAUACGGUCAAAAUUGGACUCGCCCUUUGUAUAACUAAUCAAGAUUAGAAUGUGAUAGGUUAAAGUUCGAACUCGUAUUAUAUCUGAUGAAACUGUACCAUUUGCACCAAGUAUUCAUCCAUACAUGCCUCCAGGAAUACAAAAAUACUACUGAAACAGCAUAGCAAUCUCACAAGAUACUACGUUGAAUUACAGCUACUAAACAGUGGUUUGAAGGAACCUAAGAAACAUACUGCAGUGCACUACCAGCAUUCAACCUUCAUGGAGCCUUUCAAGAUGGGCAGAAGGAACCUAAGAAACUUACUGCAGUGCACUACCAGCAUUCGACCUUCAUGGAGCCUUUCAAGAUGGGCAUCUCUACAACAUUAUCCAGUCAACCUUUAUGGCUGACAUGAAGAAAAGCAUGAGAAGUUCACUGGAGACGCAUCAACCACCAGCAAACAACAACUCUGCCCCUAUUUACUUAACUGGGCAGGCAACUCGGGGUAUUCUCAGUUGAGAACACCUAGAAUAGAGUCCUUUGGACCCCAAUUUCCACUUACCUGGCCAGACUCCAAACCUUGGAUUUUCUAGGGUUCAUACAGUCACUUUUAGGGUUCGACCUUU